rnacentral:rRNA from 1 species
CCCUUAGAUGUCCUGGGCCGCACGCGUGCUACACUGAUGCAUACAGCGAGUACUUUCCAGCUCCGCGAGGCAGCUGGUAAUCAGCAAUAUGCAUCGUGCUGGGGAUAGAUCUUUGGAAUUAUAGAUCUUGAACGAGGAAUUCCUAGUAAGCGCAAGUCAUUAGCUUGCGCUGAUUAAGUCCCUGCCCUUUGUACACACCGCCCGUCGCUCCUACCGAUUUCGAGUGGUUCGGUGAACCUUUUGGACAGCGUCUGUCCUCGUGUCAGAUGCUGAAAGUCAAGUAAACCAUAUCACUUAGAGGAAGGAGAAGUCGUAACA